rnacentral:rRNA from 1 species
GACGUAGGGCGCGAGCGUUGUCCGGAUUUAUUGGGCGUAAAGAGCUCGUAGGCGGCUCGUUGCGUCGGCUGUGAAAACCCGCAGCUCAACUGUGGGCUUGCAGCUGAUACGGGCGGGCUGGGAUUCGGUAGGGGAGACUGGAAUUCCUGGUGUAGCGGUGAAAUGCGCAGAUAUCAGGAGGAACACCGGUGGCGAAGGCGGGUCUCUGG